AAAAUACUCCCUCCGUCCGGAAUUACUUGUCAUCAAAAUGGAUGUGUCUAGAACUAAAAUACAUCUAGAUACAUCCAUUUCAAUGACAAGUAUUUUCGGAUGGGGGAGUAGUAG
rnacentral:pre_miRNA from 1 species